GACGAACGCUGGCGGCGUGCUUAACACAUGCAAGUCGAACGGAAAGGCCCUGCUUUUGUGGGGUGCUCGAGUGGCGAACGGGUGAGUAACACGUGAGUAACCUGCCCUUGACUUUGGGAUAACUUCAGGAAACUGGGGCUAAUACCGGAUAGGAGCUCCUGCUGCAUGGUGGGGGUUGGAAAGUUUCGGCGGUUGGGGAUGGACUCGCGGCUUAUCAGCUUGUUGGUGGGGUAGUGGCUUACCAAGGCUUUGACGGGUAGCCGGCCUGAGAGGGUGACCGGCGACAUUGGGACUGCGAAACGGCCCAGACUCGUAUGGGAGGCAGAAGUGGGGAAUCUUGAACAAUGGGCGGCAGACUGAUGUCGCAACGCCGCGUGCGGGAUGACGGCCUUCGGGUUGUAAACCGCUUUCGCCUGUGACGAAGCGUGAGUGACGGUAAUGGGUAAAGAAGCACCGGCUAACUACGUG
rnacentral:rRNA from 1 species